AAAACGGCUCUUUUCAGAGCCACCACAUACCUCCUCGCUUGGUUCCU
rfam:Strongylocentrotus purpuratus Contig15008_fixed, whole genome shotgun sequence.